AUGACUGAAACAUUGAAGAAAAGGGGUGGGAGGGCGGGGAAAAACAAAGACAACUUGGGACAGAUGAGAUGAAAUCUGGAAUAAAAUGAGAGAAUGGUCUUGCAAAAAUUGGAGAGGAUUGAAUCCACUUGGAGAGAAACACUCCGGUUGAAUGGAAUUGAUAAGACGAUCUAAAUGAGCAAAGAAUUUGCAUUCACAUAAAAAUAUAAGAACAC
rnacentral:lncRNA from 1 species